GGCGUAAGCGUACGUAGGCGGUUAUUCAAGUCAGAGGUGAAAGCCCGGGGCUCAACCCCGGAACGGCCUUUGAAACUAGAUAGCUAGAGUCUUGGAGAGGUUAGUGGAAUUCCGAGUGUAGAGGUGAAAUUCGUAGAUAUUCGGAAGAACACCAGUGGCGAAGGCGACUAACUGGACAAGUACUGACGCUGAGGUACGAAAGCGUGGGGAGCAAACAGGAUUAGAUACCCUGGUAGUCCACGCCGUAAACGAUGAUAACUAGCUGUCCGGGCACUUGGUGCUUGGGUGGCGCAGCUAACGCAUUAAGUUAUCCGCCUGGGGAGUACGGUCGCAAGAUUAAAACUCAAAGGAAUUGACGGGGGCCUGCACAAGCGGUGGAGCAUGUGGUUU
rnacentral:rRNA from 1 species